GACGAACGCUGGCGGCGUGCUUAACACAUGCAAGUCGAACGCUGAAACCAGAUGCUUGCAUUUGGUGGAUGAGUGGCGAACGGGUGAGUAACACGUGGGUGAUCUGCCCUACACUUUGGGAUAAGCCUGGGAAACUGGGUCUAAUACCGAAUAUUCACAUCAUCGUAGGGGUGGUGUGGAAAGCUUUAUGCGGUGUGGGAUGAGCCUGCGGCCUAUCAGCUUGUUGGUGGGGUAAUGGCCUACCAAGGCGUCGACGGGUAGCCGGCCUGAGAGGGUGUACGGCCACAUUGGGACUGAGACACGGCCCAGACUCCGACGGGAGGCAGCAGGGGGGAAGAUUGCACAAUGGGCUCAAGCCUGAUGCAGCGACGCCGCGUGGGGGAUGACGGCCUUCGGGUUGUAAACUCCUUUCGCUAGGGACGAAGCCUUUUUGGUGACGGUACCUGGAGAAGAAGCACCGGCUAACUACGUGCCAGCCGCCGCCGUAACAC
rnacentral:rRNA from 1 species